UGACCUCGGAUCAGGUAGGGAUACCCGCUGAACUUAAGCAUAUCAAUAGGC
rnacentral:rRNA from 1 species